UUAUAAAACACGCACUAAUCAAAACAUGGACCUAAAUAACGCUUCCAACAGGAAUGAAAUCGCUCCCAGCAAUCAGUUUGUCCAGUUUUAAAAUUGGAUCCAAAAUUGUCAGUUUGACGGUGAUUUCGUUGAGCAGUUUAGUAAUAAAAUAAUUAAACUUACCUAACCUUUACGUUGUUCCCGAAAAUAGCACUUUUUCACAAACAAACAAAAUCUAGGGGUUAAUAAAUAAAUGUGGAAUUUACCGAAAAACUUUUCUUAGCACUUAACAAAAAGCAUCGAUAUUCGUCAGUACAACAAUACUGUAGUUAUGAACCGUAUGGUUCUUAGCUCUUAAACACUUUGAGUCUCCGAACAAUGGCGGGCAUUUAGUAUUUUAUUGGCCCUUCAGAUUUUUUACACGGACACUUUAGUUCCACAAACCAUUUGGAACUCAUAAAUUCAUGAUAUAUUAUCAUAAUAUAAAAAAAAAACAUUUUUAGCCAGUUUUGAGUCAGUUGUUAAUUGAUUGUCUAUUGUACUCUUUAUUAUUAUUGUAGAUAUUGUAGUAGGCAUUUAGAACCCGCACGGUUGCUAAUACUUGCAGUUCUAAAUAAAUUAUUGUCUUUUGAACAAUUUCUGAAAGCAAGUUAUUUAACUCUAUAAAGCAAGAUGCCACACAUCAAUAAAUAAAUUUUGGUACAGUAAUAAUAAGUAAGACAAUUAUCAAUUUUAAUAACCGUAUUUUUGCAAAUAUGCAAUUUUGAAAUAAGUUACAAUUAUCAUGUUACAUUUCAUAUUAUAAAUGUAAAUGUAAAAUAUAAUUGAGGUUUUCCAUGCGGUAACGUGCAACGCUGUUUUUAGUGAUUAAAAUCGACCGACGUUGAAAAUCAAACGCAGCUUUCGGUAUCCAUCCGUAUCGGUGCGGGUUCGGGUAUUGAUUACCAGUUACUUUAGAUAGUCUGAACGAGUACUCGGUAGGAAUAGGCAUUCGGUACUUGUAUUGAUUACCAAUUAGUUUAGUUACUCUGAACGAGUACUCGGUCUGAAUGAGUACUAUCAUAGAUAUAGGAAUUCGGUACUGGUAUUGAUUACCAGUUAGUCUGACCGAGUACGAGUAGUAGAGUGAAGAAAACGUGGCCGGCUUUGGAGUCGAAGGGACGUACGCAAAAGAGACAUGUCGACCAGCUCUUACAUUUUGCUGGGGAAAUUCCAAAUGCCCAACGUCCGAUCGAUGUGGAGAAGGAUUUACAAAAAGAAGAGAUUCCAGAUCCAGAAGUCGAAGAUAUCCAAGAGAUUCCACAACAGCUUACAUCUGAGAAUCCUACGACCGAAGUUCCAGAGGUACGCCACCGUACGAUAGAAGUUCGAGAGCCACGCCGCUCCCGGAGGAAUAGGAAAUCUCCUCAGCGAAUCAACCUCUAGAUCACGAGGAGGAUAGUGUUGAGUCCGUACUAUACGGGCGGCAUCGCCAAUCAGAGCCACCAGCAGUGCCAGACGACCGUCGGUUAACGGUUCUCAUCGAACAUUUUUAACUCAUUGAAUUAUCAUUCAAGUUGUACUAUAAUUAGAGAAUAAAAGGUUGAAUCAAG
rnacentral:lncRNA from 1 species